rnacentral:rRNA from 1 species
UACGAAGGGUGCAAACGUUGCUCGGAAUUAUUGGGCGUAAAGAGCUCGUAGGCGGUUUGUUGCGUCGGCUGUGAAAUCCCGAGGCUCAACCUCGGGUCUGCAGUCGAUACGAGCAAACUAGAGUGUUGCAGGGGAGACUGGAAUUCCUGGUGUAGCGGUGAAAUGCGCAGAUAUCAGGAGGAACACCCGUGGCGAAGGCGGCUCUCUGGGACGGUACUGACGCUGAGACGCGAAAGCGUGGGGAGCGAACCGG